rnacentral:misc_RNA from 1 species
GUUUUUAUUCUUAACCUUGUUGAACCUUUGGAUCUUUAUUCAAGUACUUCUAUAAGGAGAAUGAUACGUGAGGUUGCUUCUUUCAAUUGCACAAUUUGGACUGCAGAUUGCAACCACAAUGCAACUCUAGCAGCGAUUGGAACCAAUCUUGGAGCUGCUUUGGUCAAUUCAGAAACAGGAACAACAACAUGGACGUGUAGAAGUAAAAGUGAUGUUUUAGCUCAACAGCUUGAUCAGUCGGGUAAUAUUGUUUUGUGUGGAUUAAGAAAUGGAGCAAUUAUGACAGUUGAUGUUCGUGAAAAAAGAGAAGGGUUUUCUGCUAGGC